AGGAGGAGGAGGAGGAGAACAAUCUUCCCUUUUUAGAAAUCCGGACACAGGCCUUGGCAGUUGCGGAAGCAGACUGUAAACCCCACGAGAGCCUCACCUCUUCCCCCCUCCCCAGUUGGAAGGGGCAAACACACCCACAGCAGCAAUGGUGGCAGCUGCAGUUUCCAAGCCCAUGGGCUAAGUCACGCCCAUCAGCAGCCAACAGACAGCACUCUUGAUUUCAUUCAGUGUCUGCUUCGUUUUAAAUUUUUUUGUUUUUGUUUUGUUUGUUUGUUUUUCGAGACAGGGUUUCUCUGUGUAGCCCUGGCUGUCCUGGAACUCACUCUGUAGACCAGGCUGGCCUUGAACUCAGAAAUCCGCCUGCCUCUGCCUCCCGAGUGCUGGGAUUAAAGGAGGCGUGCACCACCACACCCGGCAAUUUUUUAAAAAACUUUUAAACUCAUUAAAGAUUCAGUGUUUUGAUUUUUAAUGUUGUUCUUCACAGCUUCAAGAAACCUUGUUAUUCCUGUGAAGUGUUCUGUGCUAGCUAGUUUUAUGUCAGCUUGACACAGUAAAGUUAUCUGAAAGGAGGGAGCCUCAACUGAGAAAAAUGCCUCCAUAAGAUGUGAUUGUAGGGCAUUUUCUAAAUUAGUGAUUGAGGGGGGAGGGCCCAGACCAUCGUGGGUGGGGCCAUCGCUGGGCUGAUGAUACUGGGUUCUAUAAGAAAGCUGGCUGAGCAAGCCAUGAAGAGCAAGCCAGUAAGCAGCACCCCUCCAUGGCCUCUGCAUCAUCUCCUGCCUCCAGGUUCCUGCUCUGUUUGAGUUUCUGCCCUGAGUUCCCUCAGUGAUGGGCCGUUCCUUACCUGGAAGUGUGACCUGAAAUAAACACUUUGCUGCCC
rnacentral:lncRNA from 1 species